GUGAGAGGGACCUCUCCUAGGUCCCAAGGUUACAGGGCCCCUCAGAUCACAGACACGCCAAAAAUAGAUUUAUUGAAGGGCCUUUAGGUAUCCCGAGGUCUAGACAGCCCUAGCUGUCAGGAGUCAGUGCCCAUGGCUGCACAGUGCAAACCCUCACUGUAAACAGCCAUUCCCAGCUGGGCCUCGUCCAGGGAAACGCUUCUCCGGAGCUCUCGCCGUGCACGGAGGGUGUGAGGAACAUACAGACUUAGAUCAGGAGAGGACGUUGAAUUAACUCAUCAAAUCCUUCCUCUCAGAUAAUAUGGACGCAACAAUUCUUCCAUAUCGAGGUAUCAUUUCCCACUAGUACUGAGGAUCUAUUUUUCUUGCUUCUCUUCCUGUUCCAAUUCCUGGCUCUGGGGGUACUAGAAAGUUAGCAUGCUGUUUGCACUAGAAAAUUAGCACGCUGUUGGCAACAGUUGCACAUUGCGGCUAAGGAAUAUUUUGCAGCAUUAACAACACAAGUUACUUUUUAAUUUGCACGUAUGUAGAUUAGACAGAAGAUGAAUGAAGCAUGAUAUACAUUUUGAAAUCAUUGAUACUAGAUGGAUACUGAAUACUAAAACUGAAAAUAGUUUUAUUUUUGUAACAAGAUGGAGUGAGAUUUAUUAAAUGUUUAAAAUCACAUCAAAAUUCAGCCUUCUAAAAAGUUUCAUUCAAAAAUUUCAUUAACUAUAAAUUAUGUUUUAUUUUUGAUUUAAUGGAUAAUAUAAAUAUAUUUGAAGAAUUUUUUGAAAAUGUUUUAAUUUUUGAUGAAACUAUAUUCAAUUUUUAUAUUUGUGAUUAACUUACAUUUUUUUUUAGUCUCUUAGGUAAUUCUUUUUCUUUUUGAUGAGAAAGAUUGGCCCUGAGCUAACAUCUGUGUCAAUCUUCCUCUAUUUUGUGUGUGGGAUGCUGCCACAGCAUGGUUUGAUGAGCAGCAUGUAAGUCUGCCCCAGGGAUCUGAACCCAAGAACCCUGGGCCGCCAAAGCAGAGCACAUGAACUUAACCACUAUGCCACCAGGCUGGCCCCGUAGGUAAUUUUAUUAUAAGAACAUAAUUAGUAAUUUUGCUUAAAUGAAGGCAAGAAAAUAGAUUUUAUGGACUAAACAUACAAUAACUUAUGAAAAUGUGUGUUUUUAUUUUAUAAACAUUACUGGUUCAUCAAAAGAACAAUCUGACAUAUGCAAUAAUUGGAUUCAGUUGCUUUUUAUAGUUUAUGAACUUUAAGUCAUUCAGAAACCAUAACUUUACAUAUACUUUUUGAUUUUACCAUUUUACAGGUAGGAUGUAUUUCCCACAUUGGAACACGCAGCAUGUUUUAUGAAGUUUAACUUGACAUAACUUUCAUAUGCUUAUACAUGAGGCAUGAGGACACCCACUUGUCCUCCUGUGCUGGUGUCCCACAGAUGGUCCGCUGGCCCUGGUAGUGGACAGUGAAGUCAGUGACAUCCACAUAGAUGAUGAUAGACUCUCUGGGAGUGUGGUAUUAGUGCACUAAGAACUCUUAAAUCUUGAGGGGAAAGCUUCAAGGAAAGUUCUAAUAAGAGCCUAGAACUAUAACAGUUAACUUAAGCAAGCCCAGGAGUUGGUCACUGGGAAAGAAGGGGAGAGUGAAGCUAUUCUAGAAAGGGUCUCACGGGAGUUGAAGGAGAAGCAGGGAGUAACAUUUGGUAUCUUAUUUUCAAACAUGUAGAGAAACUUGCAUCUGAUUAUGAAAGAUGAGGAUUGAAAUAUUUAUAUAAUGCAACAUAGAGUUUAUACACACAGAGAGAAGCAGAGGGAGUUUUGAAAAGUACACCUGUGAAGAAGAAGCAUGAUUCAUGAAACUGUCUGCCACAGAGCAAUCUAAAAGCUAAGUAUACACAGAAAAAAUUAUAAAUGCAAGGAGCGCGUGACAAAAACACAAUUGUCGCAACAGAGUUCAAUAUAUCGGACUCAAAAUUAGCUCCAACGGCCCCAAAGAGGUAACAAUGUAGGUCGUAUUGACUGAUCAAGAAACCCAAAUAUGGGACAAUGCCUUUGUUACUAUGUUCAUGAAACUUUGAUAAAAACUGAACAUUCACUUGGCCAUAAGGAAAAUCGUAAUGAAAGUUUCAACGCAUAUGUGACAGGCCACAGUUCUGAUCAUAUUCAAUAAGGUUAGAAAUAAAUAUUUAAAAAGUGACCCAAAAAAUCUCCAGUACUUGGAAAUAAACCAACAUCUUCCUGGAUGACCUUCAUAUCAAAGAAGAAAUCAAAAGCAAAGUUAAAAGCUACCUAUAUAGCAAAUAGUAAAAGAAUGAGAUUCUUCAUUAAUAUAAGAUUCUAGAAGGGAGGCAAAGUAGUUCCAAGUUUGUACCACCUCCUGGAUCCUGGCAGAAAUAGACACAUCCACUCUCUAGUGGAAUGUAUACCCACUUUAGGGCUGAAGGGUUUCUGCUUAUUAACACAAAUAGGAGGUUGCAAUAAAAAAUCACCAGGCUCACGAGGGAACAAGGCACCAUAAUGGACAUUAAAUGGAAGCCACGUAACAGUUAGACCUCCCAGAACUUCGGAUUUUGAAGCGUAUGGAAUACUCAAAAAAAUAAAAGAAAAAAAAUCACAAAGAUGAUCAGGCAACAGAAAACUUCUUUGUAGUAAAAUAGAAUGCUGUAAAUGAAUAAAUAUUUGUUAACAUAAAGUAUAACACAGAGGAAAAGCGAACCUGCAAAUUAGACACAAUUGAGAAAUUAGUGAACUAAAAAAAAUCAGAAUUAUCCAGAACACAGCACAAUGAGACAAAGACGUGAAAUAUAUAAAAAACAAGGUAAGAUCUAUGGAACACAGGAUGAUAUGUUUCAACAUUCCUAAUGAGAGCUCAGAGGAAGAGAAUAAAGUAGAGAAGAGGAAGAGGAGCUAUAUCAGAGAAUUACUCGGGAUAAACAGGGAGAAAUGACAUCCAGACGCACCACAGUGAAAUGGACGACUACCAAAAGCAAAGAGCCAGAGAGAAAAGAGCAAUCGCCACAAGGCAGCAACAGUUAGACCAAGAGCGGACUUUCACAGCAACAACAGGGCCAGGAGCCAGGUGAACACUGUCUGUAGAUGGUGAGAGGAAAUAACUGUCAGCCUGGGACCACCAAACUCUCUUUUAAGAAUGAACGUGAAAUGAAUAUAUUUUCACAUAACAAAAACUGAGCUUUAUCAUCAAUAGACCUUUAUGAAAACACCAUUAUAAAAUAUGUACUCUGGGAAGAAGGAAAAUGGUCCCAGAGGGAAUGUCUGGGAUGGAAGGAAAAAGGGUGAAUACAGAACGUGAGGAAUAUAGAUACACAUCUAAAAUAAACACUGCAUGCUAACUUGACGGGUUGAAAUGCAAACCUCCAGGACUGGAGAGGGACGGUGGUAAACUGGGAGGUGAGUGGGAAGGAGGAGAUUUCAAGAUCCUUGCGUUACUUAGGAAGGGAAUAAAGUACUGUUAAUUUUAGACCUUCAGUUAAAUACGCAUUUGGUGAACCACUGGAAACAUAAAGUGAAACAAAUGGAAAUAGAACGUGCAAUGUCCUAACCACAGGCAGAAAAAGGCAACAAAAAGGGGGAAAAUCAAAUCCUAAAAAAAGCAGGACGCAUAGAAAUCAAAAUGCCAAAGGAUAGAAACAAGUCCAACUAUAUAUGAUAAGGAGUAUAAUAAAACCAUGGUAGCCACUUAGAAUGCUAUAUUGGAUUUAAAAAUCCAGAUAUAAAUUAUGUUACAAAGGACACACAUGUUCUUACACUGUCAGAGUUUCCUGAGAUGCAGAUACAAGGAAGGGGUCAGACGUGUAAGAGAUUUCUUGGGGGAAAUGCCCGUGAAAGAUGUAGAGAGAAGGAGAGAGGCUUCAGACAGGGUGGUGGUCUGACACUGUGAAGGGGGAGGGGGAUAAAGGAAUUGGCUGGGAAGCGCCUCAGACAACAGGAUAGUUCUAAGACCUCGUCAGCCAGAACAAUGGAGGGUCCACGGAAAGCCUGUCCUCAGAGAGAUCCCACGUGGGCUUCAACGGCCAUUCUCCACACCCCUGCUGUUCUCAGUCCUCGGCUGGGAGCACCCCAGGGGAAGCACGUCCCCAGUGGGAAGAUUGUGGUAGAUCUGCAAAUGUGGCGACCAGAGAUUGUCAGUCAACUCCCUCCCCGCAGCAGGUUCUCUUCGAGGAAGAUUCAAGCAUCGCGUGUCGCCACACACAGAAAUGCUGAAACUAAGAUGACGGAGAAAUAUGUACAAAGCUAAUACUAACAACAAAGAUAAAGGAAAAGUGGCUGUAUUAAAAAUAGAAAAAACAGACUUUAGGAGAAAAGACUAUUUUUAUGAAAGUUAACCGAUCUCAUUAGUUUCUGGUUUACCCUUUCUACAUUUCUCUUUGCAGACGCAUGUAGAUUUUUAUUUCCCUUAUGCAAAAGUUAGCAUACUAUAUACCCCAUUAUUAGGUUAAUAUACUGUAUUUUGCUAUCUUACGAAGAACUAUUAUGCUUUUGCGCCUUGCCUUUUUCACUUCAUAAUGUGCCAUGGAAAUCACUCCUUCUCAGUUCACAGAGAUGUUCCUUGCCAUUUUUUACACCCACAUAGUGCUCAGUUUUGUGGCUCCACCAUAGCUUAUUCAACACACAUCUGUAAAAAGGAACAGGAAAGACAAACCGGAGAGUGAGAUGGUUACCUGUGUGAGCAGGUGGGAAAAGGGUGGAAGAUAUGGGCGGGGGAGGGAGUAAUAUUUCUCUGAGUGUGCCUUUUCAUGUAAUUUUGACUUUUGGAACACACUCAAAAAUACUAUCUAAUCAUGUCAACAAGGAUGUGAAAAAAACCUUCAAAAUGGAAUAUAAACAGAAACCUAUGAACCUGACUCGAUUUCAAAUUAAUAAAAAAACCACACUGAGGGGAGAAAUAAAUAACCAAGUAAAGUUUGAAUACAGCACUUGACUUAUAUCUUUGUGCUGAAGAUAAAAAGAAUUGCAAACAAAUAUGAAUUCAGAUUAGUUUGUUUUUCACGGUAGUACGGGUUAGAAAUUUGAAACAUUCCGAGUAAAAUGGAGAUUGAACGCACGAGUAAAUAUAUGGAGGAAAUGGGGGCCAGUUUUCUCACUUUGAAUAAGAGCUGCAAAUAUGGAGAGCGGGAGGAUGAGCCAUCUGGAGCUGGACGGCAUUGGAGGUAUUGGCGUGAGCUCACGGAUUCUAGGACAAAUGAUUAUUAGAUGAUAGAAAGAGACAAACAGAUAUACUUGUGUGUAGCUCCUACCCCUAACCACCCCAGGUUUAUCUGCAGAAAAGAACUAGAAAUAAAGACGUCCCAAUAGCAAUGAGCAUGCUAAAUUUUGGUUACCAAAUGCCAUUCCCCAUUAACAGGAAGUUGAGCUCCUUGGAAUAAUAUCCAAGUCUAGGACUGUGAUAGGAAAAGCAAAAGAUGAGCCAGAAAAAGCAGAACAUCAUAAAAAAAAUAAAUAACGGGGAAUGUCAAAAGAAUGCAGGACCCAGCUUGAAGGGAAGGGCUUCCCAGAGUGGGUCCUUACUCUGUUCUCUGGGAGAAACUCUGUCAGUUUUCUCUGUGGAUCCUGGCUCCAUUCUCUGAAAAAAUUUUUUUUCCUAAUAUUCUCCAUAGCCCAUCUCAAGUGGGCAUUAAGAAGUGUCCAAGGGGUCUACAGGGUUUUCACUGCUUAUAUUUUGCCUUUGAAAGUUUGGGGUCCCAAGGGUUUUAAGACUUGAAUACUCAUUGGAUCAUUAUAGUGAUUUCUUUGGCAGUGCAGAUGCCUCAGAAAUACAGUGGACUUCUGAUCUGUUUGUUCCCGCUCAGUCCCAUGUAUCAGGAACCACGUGUGAAGUCCGUGCCAGAGGUAGGUUCACAUGACUGCUUGGUCUGUCUCCUUUCCCCAGGUCUCGACCUUGCAGCUUACUGGUGUCUGCUUCGGAGGCGUUGGAAGGCACAGGCAUGGGUGGACUUCAGUAGACUUAUGCUGAUUUUUACCAUGAGAUGGAAUCACUUUAUCUAACUGAGGAACCUCACAGGCCUCUGUUUCUCAAAGAUUUUAUUUUUCAGGUUUUUACUUAGAUUCUAGAGCAGUUUGCUUUUCCAUCCUUGUGAUUUCCAACUGUGAUUUCCAAUCAGCCAACUUUUGCGUAAGGUCGUUUUUGGUUUGUUUUGUAAUACCUUGCUGAAAGCAGCAAGCAAAGCUAACACACAUUAAUGCUCUUUCCAACCCCUUCUCCUAAAGAUGCAGGCUCCGUAGGCAUGUGGUCUGUCCAAGUUAUGACAGGUGGCAAUUUUACCAAAUAUUUUGCCUUUCUGUAGUACUCGUUUCCACUUUUUCCAGCCUGUGUUAUUUAUUUCCUCGCUGCCUAAACUUUGUCAUCUAAGCCAAGGUCACUUGUUUUUGUUUUAGUGUCACUCUGUGUUAAGGUGCCACUCUCUGUGUUAAUCAGGAUGGCACUACCUGCUGUAACCCAUGACCCCUGCCCUGCCAGCUCUGCCUGCCUAACCUGGUGGUCCGUGAGUGCCCCCCUCAGUGGGCAGUUUUCCUUGACCUGGUAACUCAGGGCCCUGGACUCCUGGCAUCAUGCCUCUGCAGCCUUGCUGUCCUCACCUCCAACCAGUGGAUGGGAAUGAGACCAUGAGACCUAGAAGUGACACACGUCACCUCAGCUCCCGUUGCGCUUCUGAGAAGUAGUCACACAACCCCUGGCCGAGCUCCCUGCUCCGGGAGAGAAGCCCAGACUGUGUGUGGAGAGCAGGCUCCCUCCCCCACUGUUCACAGUGAGUCUGCAGCACCCUUUGGUUCCACGUAAGGCCGUCAGCUGCCCGAAGGCUGACUCGAGUGUCUGCUUUCACUCCCAACCUUUUGUCUGUGUAGUGAAGUCAAAUCCCUGAUGUAAAAAUCGACGUUUAAGUCUCAGACUUUCUUGUGUUAGACUUCAUCAUGACAGUGGCAUCUCCAUUAAGAUGGUAAUAGCUUAAGGAACAAUUUAUGGACUAAAACUUUGUAAUGGAAAGUAGAAAUCAUGCAAUUGAUGUUUAGAUGCGCUCUUUAGGAUUCCCUCUCUACUUUGUUGUAUUGUUCUGCUGUGCCUCUCCAGAACAAUUUGUUCCCUGUUAUCUCAAGGUUAAGAGAAUCGUGCUCACAUCCCUCCCACAUUGCUCAGGGAGGCAGCAAAUAGCGAGCAGGCGUGAUGUGGGUGGAACCAGGUUCAACAAAACAUAUGUCGGGAUCCUGAUCCUAGUACCUCAGAAUCUGACCUUAUUUGGAAAUAGGGAUAUUCAUACGUGGUUAGUUAAGAUGAGGUAAUGAGGGCAGGCCCUAAUCGAUAUGAUUGGAGUCCUUCUAAGAAGAGGGGACGUGCUGUGAAGACACACACAGGAGAAUGGCCACGUGAUGACGGACGCAGAGACUGGGGAUGCAGCUGCAGGUCAGGGAAUGCUGAGAAGCCGGGAGGGGGCAAGGAGGGUUCCACCCAAAGUCUCAGCGGGAAAAGGGUCCUGCCAACACUUGAUUUUGGACGUCCAGCCUCUAGAACUGUGGGAGAAUAAAUGUCUGUCUUUGUAGGCCCCCAGUUAUGAUAUUCUGUUCAGGCAGCCCUGGGAAGCUAAGACCAGGUGCUAGGUUUGGACUGAGCAGAUCUGGGGUUAAAUACCCUUUCUCUCACUUCCGUCUGUGUGGUCCUGGGCAGGAUGCUUUACCUCUCAGAGCCUAUUCCCUCAACUCUAAAAUGGGAGAGUAUAACGUUUACCUUUCAGGGCUGUUGGGAGGAUUUUUAACGUCCUGACGCACUGUAAAUGCUGGGCUGGGGAAAAUCGUGGAGGUUGUUUGUUGGCGUAUUGAGUGGCGUAAGCGUUGGCUAUUCUUCCAGAUGCAAGUGCUGCAGCUGUAAACUCAAGAAAGAAUUGUUUGCACGAUGUGUAUCUACACACGCAGGCAUCUCUGUAUGCUAACAUUCAGACAGUAACUCCAUGCACACAUGAAAGGGUCUAGUUAGCUUUGCCUUGGGGCAGGCAAACUCUUCUGUGAGAAAGGGUCAAGAAGGACAUAGUGGUGCAGUUGAUUCAUUAAUUCAAGAAAUACCUGCUGAGCACUGAGCUUGUCUCGGCACUGUGCCGAGCCCGGGUGCUGAAGCAGAGAAUGGGUAAGGCUCUCUUGCCGACAAGUGGUGGGCAGGGUCACUUGAUGAGUCUUUUGAGGGCAGUGCCGUGGGACAGCUCAGGAAUUCGGAGCCAGGGCGUCCAUACCAGCCUCGGAGCCAGGAAGGGCUGGAGAAGAGGCCCCUGACCUGAGCCCCCAGGUGUGAGUACUAAUUAUUCAGGUGAAUGUGGCUGUUUGGGGGCACAGGAGCUCCCAGCAGAGGGAGCAAACAGAAAGGGCUCCACAGUGGGAGGUAGCACCUACGAGGGUUCUCUGGUCAUAUCUGUAUGUUCUUAUGUAUUUGGGGAGAUCAUUCCCCUGGAUUUGGAAACUUUAAUUAGUCUGAGGCAGCUGGCUGUUCCUUUACAAUCUUGCCCUCUAUUCUGGUCUUCAAUUUGCUCCUAAAAAUGCUUUUGCUACAAUUUUUCAGAUGAAAAGUCACCCUUCGGGAUAAAAUAAAAUGCGCAGACAGCCCUUUGGCCUUUGCUCUGUUCUUGGCUAACAGGUGCUGUCUGUCCCAAGCGGUGGGCUUAUCCCUCCCUUGUUUCUUUUGUUUUCCAAAUAUAGCUUGUGAAAGUCAUGCCUUUGUUCUGUAGGAUUUUUUGUAAACCUAGGUCCAUGGUGCGCCCCAAUUUUCUGAGAGCUGCUGUGACAGAUUUGUUCUUCUCGCAUUUGUGCCUGCUCAUCCCCUCCCUCUGUUGUGAUGUCUUGUAUGAAGAUGUCGUUUCAAACAGGAAUCCAUCAGCAAGGUCCCCCAGGAUGACCCCAGUGCUCUCUUUAAAUGCCCCCCACCAUCUUCAUUUUAUUCUUCAUUUAGACUUGAGAUUCAAAAUUUCACUUAUUUUAGAGCUUGACAUGUCCCUGAGCCAUGUCUCCUUUAUGGUCUCUUGCCAUAUGGUUUCGAAACUCAUCUUCCUAAAAUCUAAGGAACAGGCCUAAUAGUUCCCAGAGUUCUCUUGAUUGAUUGUUGUAGCCACCAAGAUGUCCUAGAAAUGUAGACAUUGGGAGAAAUUCCUCAGCGCGUGCAACAGGAUAUUGAAUACAGGUUUCCUGUUGUCUUGGAGUGUCACAGAGGUCCCAAAGGCUGCAAACAAUGGGUGACAAAUUCUCCCACAUUCCAAAGGAAGGGCCAGCACCUGUGCUGAACCUGAAACGAAUGUGGUCCAAAGUGAGCUCCCUGCACCCUGCGCAAGGCUGUAUGAGACGAGCUGGAAACGUCAUUGAGAUGUUGAAGCAGCUGGUGGGGAGGCUCUGCUUGGUGAGAGGGUCAGCGUGCUGGGAGUUCCCACCAACCUUGCCACGAGGAACAAAGGGAGAGGCGAGCUUUCCCCGCCUCAGCCCAUUGACAGUGGCUGCAAAAAACCAAACCAAAACAAAACAAAGCAGCCUGGAGAGCCUGGCAUGUGAUCUGUAGCCAGUUGCUCUUUUGAGCCAAGGAUGGGGCAGUGUCGAGGAUGGUCCCACGUCCAGAUGCUGAUGAGCCUGACAUGGAUCACGUGGGAGGGAAUGGAUGGUUUGGAGCAAGGGCUCUCUCAAGACACUGCUGGUCUGUGCCAGGUAACCUGAACAAAGUGGGGAUCACCAGCAACCCGGGGCUUGGAGAGAGCUUUCAGACCUACCAGAGGAGGAGUUGUAGCCCACAUCAAGGAAACUGGAGGCAAGAGAUCACCAGCAAUGCAAGCUCUAAAGAACCCACAAAAUUACCCCGUGGAGAAAAAAUCAGUGUUUGCUGUUGCCACAUCCAGAGAGUACUAAUGAUGGAUUUCAGCUGAACCAAUCAAGUGAGAAAGUUUUGCCCCAUAUCUCCUCUCCUUCCUCCAAGUCCAGCCCUGAAGGAACUGAGUGCAGACAGUGACUAGGGGCUGAAAAGUAAAGAACAAGCUGGAUAGACAGAGAAGCAGCAGCCAGGAUCUGCUUCUGGGGAAACCCAAUCUAAGACCAGGGCAACUUUGGAAUCCACAUUAUUGAAGACAGCUGAGCCUCUGACAUCUUGGAUCCUUGAACAACGAGGUGGAGGAGAUCCUCCUCCCCCACCAACACCAUAUUGCCCCAAGCCCACUACAGCUGAUUCCAUUUUUUACGAGCAAAAACUAAUUUCCAUUGUGUUAAGCCACUGACAUUUCGGGAUUUAUCUGUUACAGGACCUCAGCUAACACGCUCUGUUUGCCUCACUUUUCUUUGGCAGGUUCCCAAACAUAAAGCAGAUCCAGACCCGGGAAAGGGAAAAGCUUUACACUGGAAGAGAGUUUGAAAUUUUCAUGCUACUCUGGGUGGAUUUUUUUUCUAUUGUGUUGAAAAUGAAAUUUAAGAUUUAUAAUCUGAGAGUGACCCACAUUUCAUCUGGGGGUGGGGAAGAACGAGUUGAGAGAAUAGGUAAAAAAUAAAUUAAAUUGCUUUCCGCCUGCAUCCUACUAAGUUCAGCUCUUUCAAUAAACUGGUUAUAAGUGAUGUCUGUUUCUCUGAUUCAGUGGAAGCAGCUAUCCUGACAGCUCAGUGUGAGCUAACAAAACAAUAGAAAAAGUGUUUUUGCUGGUAAAUUAAGCAUUGCCAUGUUUAAUUUUAUUAGUUUUCCACUUGACCAUGCAUUGAAAGAUACACCUAUAUGAAUGAACAUUACUCAUUAUUAUCUGUUAUAAUAGCUGACCAUCUUAUUUUAUUUAUAUUGAGGAGAAAGAAAUAUUAGUUAUGAACUUCGAGUUUGGAAAUUUUCGUGAAAAAUUCUAAGUCCCCUCCCCCUCCCCCCUACUACCCCAAGUCUAAUUCCUAGAUGCUGUGUUCCUUUCUAGCUCCUUCGGGCUGAAAGCUUAUGUUGAAACAAGUGCUUUGUGUCAACUUCCCUUCAGCUUCUGGGUAGUCUCUUGUUUCACAGGAUCCACGUUCGUCUGUUCCUUCCUCAACCCUUCAUCUCAUCAGGAAGGCAGGAACCCCGAGGUCAUGCCCAGAUAUAGCCCUAUGGUGUCCCACUUUCUUAGAAUGAGAAUUAAGACAGUAAUAGCAGCAAGAGGACAAACUGGAACAGGCUCUGAGCACUCACGCACACACAAGAAAAGGAGCGAAAAUAGCUGUAGUUCAUGAAUGUGAAACACUCGAAUGCCCAAUAUCAAAAUGGAAGCCAACAGUUUAUGAGUCUCAGCUUUACCCUAAAUAUUUUUAUACCACAAAAAGACACCUUCAAAUUAACUGAGAUGCCAUUUAUCCAGAAGGUAAAAUUAAAAUCUAAAUUUCUUUGGAUUAAUAAUAAUAUAUUACAUUAUUGAGUAUUUACUAUGUGCCAAGUAUUGUUCAAGGCGCUAUGUACAGUCUAACUCAUUCUAUCCUUAUGACACACUGUGCUAGACAAGAACUUUCCUUACCUCCAUUUUACAGAUAAGAAACUGAGGAAUUGAGAGGACAAGAAAAUUGUUUCAAGUUUCACUGCUCAGAAGUGGUAGCGUCUUGGUUUAAAACAGGGCAGGCUGGCUUCCCAGCCAUGGUGUCAAUCCUGGUAUUAACGGCUACUGCUUGGUGAGUUCCACAGUGCAAGACUCAGGGGCAUGUGCUUCACCUUGACCAUGUACUUCAACCGUCACAACAGCUUCAAGAUCGCGUUCUCAAUUAACACAGGAAGGUACAGAAGCUCAGAGGUUAAGAAACUUGCCAAGUCUGCGUUUAUAAUCUGAUUCCCAAAUCACUCUUCCUUAACCUUUGAGUGACCAUAUAAUAUUGUCUCAAGUCCAGGGUACUUUUAAGAGUGAAAAGAGACAUUCUUAACAAUUGAUGGCAUGGCCAGCACAAACCAGGACUCUCUUGGGCACUCUGCGAUGCAUGAUUGCCCUCCACCCUUCUGAACUUGAGCAGCUGAUGACAUUCUGAUAUUGCACCUGAAGUGAAUUUGCUCACCCGUUGUGCAGCAAGCCAAUCUCUGACACUGGGUAUAGUGGAAGAAAGUAGGAAUUUUAUUAUUGCACAGAGCUGAAUAAGGAGAUAGGACAGCUAAUACUGAAAUCCCAAACUCCCUGAAAAGCUAAAAGGAAGGGUUUUUAUUUGGAGUUUUAGGUAGAGGAGGGGGAGCACAUGGCCUUGCUGGUUGGAGCUUUCCCACCAGCCUGUCUUUGGCCUUGAGACACUUGCAGAGAGGAGGGAGCCUGUGACCUUGCUGCUCAGCAGCUUUCCCACCAGCCUGUGUCUCCUUGUUGGGGAGGAGAUCACGAAUCCAGGUGCUUAUCCUUGGCUGUGUCUGUCUCCAUGGAGGAUAGUGGAUUGUGGAGCCAGGAAGCCAGGGAGCAGGCAGGGAAUGAGUGCUUUGGUUUUAACCCCAUAUAUGCAGGGUUUAAUGUAGAGAAACUGAUAUCAGGGCCAGUAUCAAUUUGACCCCAAAUCUUUGAAGAGUUCCUCAAAAUGACCAAAGAAAGAAGUGUUUCCCCAGAGUUUUGUGAACUGGAAUCACCCAUCUCCUUCCCUCUCCCUCCAUGUUUAUUUCCUCUUUGGAAACCCUGUUUGGUCAACUUCCUCUCCUCUACUUCAAGUCUUUUGAAAAAAAAAGACCACCAUUAGAUCUUAUAAAUGUAUUUUCUUCACAUGUGAAAUGAUGGAUUAUUGACUCCUUGGAGAAAAUAACAUCCUUUCAGCUAACAAAACAGAGCUGAACAAAACAGGAGGAGAGCACAGAGAGGGCCACUAAUUUAAAGAGAAAUUUAUAGGUCUCCUGAUGUCAUGAGUAAGAAAGACUUUGCUGUCUGCAGGGAAAAGGAAACAGUGCUGGAGACUAGGUAUGCACAGAGUCUCCUCUGGCAUUAAAACCAGGCAGACGCCCAGUCUCAGCCCAGACCUAUUACAUCCAAGCUUUAGAGGCUGGACUCUUCAGUGUUUGCAUCUUUGAGAACCUCACCAAUGAUUCUGAUUCACGGUCAGGGGGAACAAAUCAAUAUGAAAUCCCCUGACGACAACAGACCUUUCCAGUAGAACCGUGGAGUAUGCACAUCAGUCUUCAUCCUGUACCAUCAAGUCACCAAGCAGCCGACCCUGGGUUUCUCAACAUAUUGUAGGCAGAACUUGUUUUGGUUGCUUUUCUAACCUUUUCUGAGAUUCUAAUCAAACCUCAUCUUUCCGACCUGGUUACAUUUGUUGCCAUCUUUUUCACGGUUCCUUUCUCUUAUUUUCCUCCACUUCCUCAUUCUCUGCAUCUUCAAAUACAUACAAGCAUACAUAAAUACAUAGAUGUAUACAUCAAUUCAGGUAAAUGUAUGUAUUUGUAUGUAUGUAUUUACCUGAAUUAUUUUGAGAUUUAAAAAUAAAUAUCUCUUUUUCUUUUUCAUAA
ensembl:lncRNA